CAACUUGAGAGUUUGAUCCUGGCUCAGAACGAACGCUGGCGGCAGGCUUAACACAUGCAAGUCGAGCGCCCCGCAAGGGGAGCGGCAGACGGGUGAGUAACGCGUGGGAAUCUACCCAUCUCUACGGAAUAACUCAGGGAAACUUGUGCUAAUACCGUAUACGCCCUUCGGGGGAAAGAUUUAUCGGAGAUGGAUGAGCCCGCGUUGGAUUAGCUAGUUGGUGGGGUAAAGGCCUACCAAGGCGACGAUCCAUAGCUGGUCUGAGAGGAUGAUCAGCCACACUGGGACUGAGACACGGCCCAGACUCCUACGGGAGGCAGCAGUGGGGAAUAUUGGACAAUGGGCGCAAGCCUGAUCCAGCCAUGCCGCGUGAGUGAUGAAGGCCCUAGGGUUGUAAAGCUCUUUCACCGGUGAAGAUAAUGACGGUAACCGGAGAAGAAGCCCCGGCUAACUUCGUGCCAGCAGCCGCGGUAAUACGAAGGGGGCUAGCGUUGUUCGGAAUUACUGGGCGUAAAGCGAGUGUAGGUGGUUGUUCAAGUUGGAUGUGAAAGCCUUGAGCUCAACUCAAGAAAUGCAUUCAGGACUGAGCGACUAGAGGACCGGAGAGGAUAGUGGAAUUCCCAGUGUAGUGGUGA
rnacentral:rRNA from 1 species